rnacentral:rRNA from 1 species
GAGUGAACGCUGGCGGUAGGCCUAACACAUGCAAGUCGAACGGCAGCACAGGAGAGCUUGCUCUCUAGGUGGCGAGUGGCGGACGGGUGAGGAAUACAUCGGAAUCUGCCCAGUCGUGGGGGAUAACGUAGGGAAACUUACGCUAAUACCGCAUACGACCUUCGGGUGAAAGAGGGGGAUCGCAAGACCUCUCGCGAUUGGAUGAGCCGAUGUCGGAUUAGCUAGUUAGCGGGGUAAUGGCCCACCAAGGCGACGAUCCGUAGCUGGUCUGAGAGGAUGAUCAGCCACACUGGAACUGAGACACGGUCCAGACUCCUGCGGGAGGCAGCAGUGGGGAAUAUUGGACAAUGGGCGCAAGCCUGAUCCAGCCAUACCGCGUGGGUGAAGAAGGCCUUCGGGUUGUAAAGCCCUUUUGUUGGGAAAGAAAUCUUUCAGGCUAAUACCCUGGGAGGAUGACGGUACCCAAAGAAUAAGCACCGGCUAACUUCGUG